AGCAGAACGACCCGUGAACUUGUCUCUACUAUAGGGAUGCAUCGGAUCGGUCCUCGACCCUCCGGUGUCAUCCCAUACCAGGGGGUGAGCUCGUUGUCCACCUCGGCUGCGAGUUCAAUUCCCUGGUCGAACAACGAACCCCGGCGCAAACCGCGCCAAGGAAAUUUAACAAAGACCCUUUUCUCCCGUGCGCCGGUUGUGAGGGAUUCUUGCAUAUAACAAAAUGACUCUUGGCAACGGAUAUCUAGGCUCUCGCAUCGAUGAAGAACGUAGCAAAAUGCGAUACUUGGUGUGAAUUGCAGAAUCCCGUGAACCAUCGAGUUUUUGAACGCAAGUUGCGCCCGAAGCCACUAGGCCGAGGGCACGUCUGCCUGGGCGUCCCACAAUGCGUCGCUCCCCCACUCACCUCGGGUGUCGUGUGAGGUGCGGAUACUGGCUCCCCGUGUGCUAUCGCGCGCGGUCAGCCUAAAAGUGAAUCCCGACGAUCGGUGUCGCGGCAAGUGGUGGUUUUCAAACCGUUGCAUGUUGUCGUGCACGCUUCGAUC
rnacentral:sRNA from 1 species